CCUGUCGUUUGGGCGUUGCGGGCUGCACGGCGCGUCUGGACGGCACGGCGAACCCUGCUGCCCUGGGUUGCCCUGCAUGCCCGUCACCUGGACACAGAGCUCGCGGGAGAGCUGGGUCCUCCCUAGUCCCGGGGAACUUACAGCGGUGGGCGCCUCCUGCCCCCCAUCUGUGAGGUCACCCAGCCCGGGUCAGCCCCUCGGAAGCUCACGUCCUGGGCCGAGAUCUUCCUGGCCCUGGGGCCGAUUCGCAUGUGAUGGUCUGAGGGGUCCUUGCACACAGGGGCAGGGUGGGCCAGGGGCAGGGGCGAUCCUGGGUCCGGUCCUGCUUCUUGAGAGCAGGUGACAGACUGCUGGGCCCGGAGACCACGCAUUCACUCGGGAGCUGUAAUUAGCCUCUUGCUGAAAGGGUGGAGUUUCGAACCCGAUGCAGAUUCCACGGCGCAGGCCGCUGGGAUGGGCACGUUUUCCUGGUGACCCCGCGGGGGCACACACGCAGGCGACUGGGUGAUUUUGUGGAUGCCCCGGUCCCCUGGCCACGUCUGCCAACUCCAGCGUCAGGAGCUCCCCAGCGCCUGCUGUGUGGCCUUCUUCCAGCCUUGGGACCACACGGGCACACCCGAGCAGCUUUUCGAGAUCAUUUCCCGCACUACGGAAGCUCCUCUCUCUCAUCCCCGCUGGUGACAGGUGUUUUGUCCCGGCGACACUCGCCAGGAUGAUCACGGCCACUCCCCGGCUGUCCGCUCUACGCCAGCAUUGAGCCUGGGCCUUUCCCGCGUGAGCUCACUUCUCUGCACGAGGGCCCCAUGAGAGGAUGACGAGCCGGGCCCAGAGAGGGGCUAAGGGCAGAUUAGCAGCAAAUCGCGAGGUUGUCUUCGAGGGAAUCGGAAGAAGUGGAGAGGAAUCAGUGGAGGAUGUGAGGUGCAGCCCACCAUGGGCCCUCCUCACCUGUACUCACAUUCUGCUCAGCAGCAUUUACUCACCUGGCCACCAAUUGCUGCAAGGGAUGCUGGGUACUAUCAUCCUAAAUCUUGGCUUCCAUAUUCCCAUUUCACAACAGACAUUCGGAAGGGGUAUGCGGAUAAUGUGGGGUCCCUAGUUAUUGCAAACAGACAAGAAGGCAGCCAACUCAGAGUGAAACAAACAAAAUACCUGCAUGUCACCUGGGAUUCUCAACUGACUUUCAGUUUCACCCUUGACAGAUGGAGAUGACUUGGUUUUUGACUUUAAUAAGUUUUGAAACCAAAAGGUUUUCCUAAUUAAUCUUAACACUGUUGUGUCCCAAACCUCAGUAACUUCUGUUUCCCUUACGUAAUUUUGGACACAUUUGUCUAUCA